rnacentral:tRNA from 1 species
AGAGGUAUAGCUCAAUGGUACAGCACUUGCCCAGCAUGCAAAGGACCUGGGUCCAAUCCCCAGUGCCACAC